rnacentral:other from 1 species
CGCUCCCUGUAGCGUGCGAUGCGGAUUGGACAGACUUUCGACCCUAAAUCUUGAUCUUGGGGUUGUGUUCUGUCGGUGGCGUUGUGCAGAUCCGGCAUUGCCGGGUAGCCUGCAACCACCACGGCUUACCCCACCUGGUGCUCCGGUUCGAGAGCAACAGUCCGCGACGGCGCCAACGGGGAGCGU